rnacentral:rRNA from 1 species
AUUAAACGCUGGCGGCAUGCCUUACACAUGCAAGUCGAACGGCAGCACGGGGCAACCUGGUGGCGAGUGGCGAACGGGUGAGUAAAGCAUCGGAACGUGCCCUGGAGUGGGGGAUAACGUAGCGAAAGUUACGCUAAUACCGCAUAUUCUGUGAGCAGGAAAGCAGGGGAUCGCAAGACCUUGCGCUCUGGGAGCGGCCGAUGUCGGAUUAGCUAGUUGGUGGGGUAAAGGCCUACCAAGGCGACGAUCCGUAGCGGGUCUGAGAGGAUGAUCCGCCACACUGGGACUGAGACACGGCCCAGACUCCUACGGGAGGCAGCAGUGGGGAAUUUUGGACAAUGGGCGCAAGCCUGAUCCAGCCAUGCCGCGUGAGUGAAGAAGGC